ensembl:lncRNA
AACAAUGGAUGAACCUGGUGUUUGGAAGAUAUGAGAGAGAACUGAGAGCCUUGGUUGCUAAAGAACUUCCUCAAAUUGCAUCCUUUGUCAUCUCUGGUCUGCACACAAAGUGGGCUGGUGCUUGAGUGGAAAGCAUUCAGUUUGCAGAGAACAGUGUGGACACACACACACGCACACAGAGAGAGAGAGAGAGAGAGAGGAGAGAGAGAGAGAGACGUGAGCAAGCUUGGGAUCCUGGAAACUGCAGAGUGUGAGACUGUGGGGCUCACAGUGGAAGAAGAGAUGUUACUAGAAAGGGGGCAUGAGAAGAAGAAACAGUAAAUUUGAAUGGUAUGCAAACACCUUUAAAAUAAAAACAAAAGAAAAAGAGAAAAAUAUCUGUGAGAAACAAAUGAUCGAGCUGUACUCAGAAGCCUUCAAAAAACCAAGGUGUGGGACCUUGUGUCUCAGCAGUGAGAACGGUGACUAAGACAGUCCUCACCCAGUGACCAUGCCCUUGCCCAGGCCGUUCCCCAUUCUACAUCUCCAUCUGUCAGGCUCUUCACAUGUCUGGUGCUACAGUGGAAUACCAC